rnacentral:rRNA from 1 species
AACGAACGCUGGCGGCAGGCCUAAUACAUGCAAGUCGAACGAUGCAGCAAUGCAUAGUGGCGCACGGGUGAGUAACGCGUGGGAAUGUGCCCUUGGGUGCGGAAUAGCUACUGGAAACGGUAAUUAAUACCGCAUAAUAUCUACGGAUCAAAGAUUUAUCGCCCAAGGAUCAGCCCGCGUCUGAUUAGCUAGUUGGUGGGGUAAUGGCCUACCAAGGCGACGAUCAGUAGCUGGUCUGAGAGGAUGAUCAGCCACACUGGGACUGAGACACGGCCCAGACUCCUACGGGAGGCAGCAGUAAGGAAUACUGGACAAUGGGGGAAACCCUGAUCCAGCCAUGCCGCGUGAGUGAUGAAGGCC